CCUACGGGAGGCAGCAGUGAGGAAUAUUGGUCAAUGGGCGCGAGCCUGAACCAGCCAAGUCGCGUGCGGGAUGACGGCUCUAUGGAUCGUAAACUUCUUUUAUACGGGAAUAACGCGCCUUACGUGUACUACUUUGCAUGUACCUUAUGAAUAAGGAUCGGCUAACUCCGUGCCAGCAGCCGCGGUAAUACGGAGGAUCCGAGCGUUAUCCGGAUUUAUUGGGUUUAAAGGGUGCGUAGGCGGCCUGUUAAGUUAGCUGUGAAAUGUUGUGGCUCAACCAGGGCAUUGCCGUGGGAACUGGGGGGCGUGAGUAUGUGGGAGGCAGGCGGAAUGCGUGGUGUAGCGGUGAAAUGCUUAGAGAUGACGAAGAACCCCGAUUGCGAAGGCAGCUUGCU
rnacentral:rRNA from 1 species